AUUGAACGCUGGCGGCAGGCCUAACACAUGCAAGUCGAACGGUAGCACAGAGAGCUUGCUCUCGGGUGACGAGUGGCGGACGGGUGAGUAACGUCUGGGAAACUGCCCGAUGGAGGGGGAUAACUACUGGAAACGGUAGCUAAUACCGCAUAACGUCGCAAGACCAAAGUGGGGGACCUUCGGGCCUCACACCAUCGGAUGUGCCCAGAUGGGAUUAGCUAGUAGGUGGGGUAAUGGCUCACCUAGGCGACGAUCCCUAGCUGGUCUGAGAGGAUGACCAGCCACACUGGAACUGAGAAACGGUCCAGACUCCUACGGGAGGCAGCAGUGGGGAAUAUUGCACAAUGGGCGCAAGCCUGAUGCGGCCAUGCCGCGUGUAUGAAGAAGGCCUUCGGGUUGUAAAGUACUUUCAGCGGGGAGGAAGGCGGUGAAGUUAAUAGCUUCACCGAUUGACGUUACCCGCAGAAGAAGCACCGGCUAACUCCGUGCCAGCCGCCGCAGUAAUAC
rnacentral:rRNA from 1 species